rnacentral:rRNA from 1 species
AGUGAACGCUGGCGGUAGGCCUAACACAUGCAAGUCGAACGGCAGCACAGUAAGAGCUUGCUCUUACGGGUGGCGAGUGGCGGAUGGGUGAGGAAUACAUCGGAAUCUACUUUUUCGUGGGGGUUAACGAAGGGAAAUUUAAGCUAAUACCGCAUACGACCUACGGGUGAAAGGAGGGGAUUUUCGGACCUUGGGCGAUUGCAUGAGCCGAUGUCGGGUUAGUUAGUUGGCGGGGUAAAGGCCCACCAAGGCGAAGAUCGGCUGCUGGUCUGAGCGGAGGUAGACCCACACUGAGAGUGAGACACGGUCCAGACUCUGACGGGAGGCAGCAGCGGGGAAUAUUGGACGAUGGGGGGAAUCCUGAUCCAGCCAUGCCGGGUGGGUGAAGAAGGCCUGCGGGUUGUAAAGCCCUUUUGUUGUGGAAGAAAAGCAGCAGGUGAAUACCCCGCUGUUCUGACGGUACCCAAAGAAUAAGCACCGGCUAACUUCGUG